UACGGGGGGGGCAAGCGUUGUUCGGAAUUACUGGGCGUAAAGGGCUCGUAGGUGGUCAACUAAGUCGGACGUGAAAUCCCUCGGCUUAACCGGGGAACUGCGUCCGAUACUGGAUGACUUGAAUUCGGGAGAGGGAUGCAGAAUUCCAGGUGUAGCGGUGAAAUGCGUAGAUAUCUGGAGGAAUACCGGUGGCGAAGGCGGCAUCCUGGACCGACAUUGACGCUGAGGAGCGAAAGCUAGGGGAGCAAACGGG
rnacentral:rRNA from 1 species